AUACUUACCUGGCAGGGGAGAUACCAUGAUCACGAAAGUGAUUUUCCCAAGGCAAGGCUCAUGUAUUUCACUUAAGAAAAACUGACGGGGCCGUCCCGCACGUGCUGGAGCCUGCAGGAAUGUGGGGCAUCUGGGGAGGAGGAAGAGAAGAGGCGCAGAGAAGCUAACAGAUCUCCCGG
rnacentral:snRNA from 1 species